AUCGGAAGCAACUCAGAAAGGAUUUUCGCAUAUACUUAUUAUGGGAGACUUUAAUUACCCAGCAAUAGAUUGGGAGAUAUGGAACACAAAAGGAGAAAAUGAAAAAUAGCAUCGAAAACAGAUUUUUAGAUUCGAUACAAGAAAAUUUCCUAUUCCAACAUACAAUCCAAACCAACAAGAUGGAGAGGUACAGAUACUCCGCAUACCUUAGAUUUGAUAUUGACGAACGAAGAAGAAAUGAUUAGUAAUCUAGAAUACAUGAGCCCUCUAGGGAAAAGUGACCACUGUGUAUUGUCCUUUGACUACAACUGUUAUAUAAACAUUAAGAACAAACCAAGAAUAGCUAAGCUGUAUGACCAUGGGAACUACCAUGAUUUUAAACUAGAAUUGGAUAAGAUAAAUUGGCAGGAAGAAAUUAAAGAUGACUUUUCUGUCGACACAAACUGGAAAUACUUUUUAACCACUCUAAAUGAAUUAGAACAAAGAUUCGUACCAAAAAAAAAAAAUGACACAAAUUGGAAAGAAGAAAAACGCUUUCCCAGUAGACAAAAAAAACCAGAGAAUUAAUUAAGAGGAAAAAUAUACUGUCAAAGAAAAUUGUAACCAACCAAGACCCGGAAAUUAGAGCUG
rnacentral:lncRNA from 1 species